CAGCGUACUUAAUUGGAUUGAGCCUUGGUAUGGAAACCUACUAGGUGAGAACUUUCAAAUUCAGAGAAACCCCGGAAUUACUAAAAAGGGGCAAUCCUGUUUUCGAAAAAGUGCCGGUUCAUAAAACCAAAAAAAGGAUAGGUGCAGAGACUCAAUGGAAGCUGUUCUAAUAAAUGGGUGUACCGAGAGACUUACUGUCGAAAGAUCAGAAAGGAUCAAGGAUAAACCUCUCUAUUGAAUACUAGAAUUAAUAAUUCAUUUCAUAAUUAAUAUAUUAGGGCCCGAAUCUAUAACUUUAUCUUUUUUAGAUUAAAAAAUAGAAGAAUUGGUGUCAAUUCAUUAGACAUUGAAUAAAAAAUCGAUCAAAUCAUUCACUCCCUAGCCUAGUCCGAUAAAUCUUUUUAAGACCAGAUCAAUCGGACAAGAAUAAAGAUAGAGUCCCCUUCUACAUGUCACUACCGG
rnacentral:ncRNA from 1 species